rnacentral:rRNA from 1 species
UGGGGAAUAUUGCGCAAUGGGGGAAACCCUGACGCAGCAACGCCGCGUGAAGGAUGAAGGUCUUCGGAUUGUAAACUUCUUUGAUGAGGGACGAAAAAAUGACGGUACCUCAAAAAUAAGCCACGGCUAACUACGUGCCAGCAGCCGCGGUAAUACGUAGGUGGCGAGCGUUGUCCGGAAUUACUGGGUGUAAAGGGCGUGUAGGCGGGACUGCAAGUCAGAUGUGAAAUUCUUGGGCUUAACCCAAGGGCUGCAUCUGAAACUGUAGUUCUUGAGUGCUGGAGAGGAUAGUGGGAUUCCUAGUGUAGCGGUGAAAUGCGUAGAUAUUAGGAGGAACACCAGUGGCGAAGGCGGCUAUCUGGACAGUAACUGACGCUGAGGCGCGAAAGCGUGGGGAGCAAACAGGAUUAGAUACCCUGGUAGUCCACGCUAGUAACGAUGGAUACUAGGUGUAGGAGGUAUCGACCCUUCU